GCCUACAGCCAGACCGCCCUGAGAGCGCCCGAUCCCGACUGAUCUCGGAAGCUAAGCAGGGUCGGGCCCGGUCAGUACUUGGAUGGGAGACCGCCGGCGAACACCGGGUGCUGUAGACU
rnacentral:rRNA from 1 species